rnacentral:rRNA from 1 species
UUAAGCGACUAAGCGUACACGGUGGAUGCCCUGGCAGUCAGAGGCGAUGAAGGACGUGCUAAUCUGCGAAAAGCGUCGGUAAGGUGAUAUGAACCGUUAUAACCGGCGAUGUCCGAAUGGGGAAACCCAGUGCAAUUCGUUGCACUAUCGUUAACUGAAUACAUAGGUUAACGAGGCGAACCGGGGGAACUGAAACAUCUAAGUACCCCGAGGAAAAGAAAUCAACCGAGAUUCCCCCAGUAGCGGCGAGCGAACGGGGAGCAGCCCAGAGUCUGAAUCAGCUUGUGUGUUAGUGGAACGGUCUGGAAAGUCCGACGGUACAGGGUGAUAGUCCCGUACACCAAAAUGCACAGGCUGUGAACUCGAAGAGUAGGGCGGGACACGUGGUAUCCUGUCUGAAUAUGGGGGGACCAUCCUCCAAGGCUAAAUACUCCUGACUGACCGAUAGUGAACCAGUACCGUGAGGGAAAGGCGAAAAGAACCCCGGCGAGGGGAGUGAAAAAGAACCUGAAACCGUGUACGUACAAGCAGUGGGAGCACCUUCGGGUGUGACUGCGUACCUUUUGUAUAAUGGGUCAGCGACUUAUAUUCUGUAGCAAGGUUAACCGUAUAGGGGAGCCGCAGGGAAACCGAGUCUUAACUGGGCGUUAAGUUGCAGGGUAUAGACCCGAAACCCGGUGAUCUAGCCAUGGGCAGGUUGAAGGUUGGGUAACACUAACUGGAGGACCGAACCGACUAAUGUUGAAAAAUUAGCGGAUGACUUGUGGCUGGGGGUGAAAGGCCAAUCAAACCGGGAGAUAGCUGGUUCUCCCCGAAAGCUAUUUAGGUAGCGCCUCGUGAACUCAUCUUCGGGGGUAGAGCACUGUUUCGGCUAGGGGGUCAUCCCGACUUACCAACCCGAUGCAAACUACGAAUACCGAAGAAUGUUAUCACGGGAGACACACGGCGGGUGCUAACGUCCGUCGUGAAGAGGGAAACAACCCAGACCGCCAGCUAAGGUCCCAAAGUCAUGGUUAAGUGGGAAACGAUGUGGGAAGGCACAGACAGCCAGGAUGUUGGCUUAGAAGCAGCCAUCAUUUAAAGAAAGCGUAAUAGCUCACUGGUCGAGUCGGCCUGCGCGGAAGAUGUAACGGGGCUAAACCAUGCACCGAAGCUGCGGCAGCGACACUAUGUGUUGUUGGGUAGGGGAGCGUUCUGUAAGCCUGCGAAGGUGNNNNNNNNNNNNNNNNNNNNNUGCUGGAGGUAUCAGAAGUGCGAAUGCUGACAUAAGUAACGAUAAAGCGGGUGAAAAGCCCGCUCGCCGGAAGACCAAGGGUUCCUGUCCAACGUUAAUCGGGGCAGGGUGAGUCGACCCCUAAGGCGAGGCCGAAAGGCGUAGUCGAUGGGAAACAGGUUAAUAUUCCUGUACUUGGUGUUACUGCGAAGGGGGGACGGAGAAGGCUAUGUUAGCCGGGCGACGGUUGUCCCGGUUUAAGCAUGUAGGCUGGUUAUCCAGGCAAAUCCGGAUAAUCAAGGCUGAGGUGUGAUGACGAGGCACUACGGUGCUGAAGUAACAAAUGCCCUGCUUCCAGGAAAAGCCUCUAAGCAUCAGGUAACAUCAAAUCGUACCCCAAACCGACACAGGUGGUCAGGUAGAGAAUACCAAGGCGCUUGAGAGAACUCGGGUGAAGGAACUAGGCAAAAUGGUGCCGUAACUUCGGGAGAAGGCACGCUGGUGUGUAGGUGAAGCCCCUGCGGGUGGAGCUGAGACCAGUCGAAGAUACCAGCUGGCUGCAACUGUUUAUUAAAAACACAGCACUGUGCAAACACGAAAGUGGACGUAUACGGUGUGACGCCUGCCCGGUGCCGGAAGGUUAAUUGAUGGGGUUAUCCGUAAGGAGAAGCUCUUGAUCGAAGCCCCGGUAAACGGCGGCCGUAACUAUAACGGUCCUAAGGUAGCGAAAUUCCUUGUCGGGUAAGUUCCGACCUGCACGAAUGGCGUAAUGAUGGCCAGGCUGUCUCCACCCGAGACUCAGUGAAAUUGAACUCGCUGUGAAGAUGCAGUGUACCCGCGGCAAGACGGAAAGACCCCGUGAACCUUUACUAUAGCUUGACACUGAACAUUGAGCCUUGAUGUGUAGGAUAGGUGGGAGGCUUUGAAGCGUGGACGCCAGUCUGCGUGGAGCCAACCUUGAAAUACCACCCUUUAAUGUUUGAUGUUCUAACGUUGGCCCCUGACCGGGGUUGCGGACAGUGUCUGGUGGGUAGUUUGACUGGGGCGGUCUCCUCCCAAAGCGUAACGGAGGAGCACGAAGGUUAGCUAAUCCUGGUCGGACAUCAGGAGGUUAGUGCAAUGGCAUAAGCUAGCUUGACUGCGAGCGUGACGGCGCGAGCAGGUGCGAAAGCAGGUCAUAGUGAUCCGGUGGUUCUGAAUGGAAGGGCCAUCGCUCAACGGAUAAAAGGUACUCCGGGGAUAACAGGCUGAUACCGCCCAAGAGUUCAUAUCGACGGCGGUGUUUGGCACCUCGAUGUCGGCUCAUCACAUCCUGGGGCUGAAGUAGGUCCCAAGGGUAUGGCUGUUCGCCAUUUAAAGUGGUACGCGAGCUGGGUUUAGAACGUCGUGAGACAGUUCGGUCCCUAUCUGCCGUGGGCGCUGGAGAAUUGAGGGGGGCUGCUCCUAGUACGAGAGGACCGGAGUGGACGCAUCACUGGUGUUCGGGUUGUCAUGCCAAUGGCACUGCCCGGUAGCUAAAUGCGGAAGAGAUAAGUGCUGAAAGCAUCUAAGCACGAAACUUGCCCCGAGAUGAGUUCUCCCUGAGACUUUAAGUCUCCUGAAGGAACGUUGAAGACGACGACGUUGAUAGGCCGGGUGUGUAAGCGCAGCGAUGCGUUGAGCUAACCGGUACUAAUGAACCGUGAGGCUUAACCUU